rnacentral:rRNA from 1 species
UACAGAGGCGGCAAGCGUUGUUCGGAAUUAUUGGGCGUAAAGAGCACGUAGGCGGCUGUGUAAGUCGGUUGUGAAAGCCUUCCGCUCAACGGAAGAACGGCAUCCGAUACUGCAUGGCUUGAGUGUGGGAGGGGAGAGUGGAACUUCUGGUGGAGCGGUGAAAUGCGUAGAUAUGCGGAGGAACACCGAUGGCGAAGGCAGUCCCCUGGGCCUGUACUGACGCUCAUGCACGAAAGCGUGGGGAGCAAAC